rnacentral:lncRNA from 1 species
ACUCACGCAUCCUCCUCCUGACUGCUGGGAGCACACAGGCAUGCUGCAUGUCACCUGCUCCUCGGGCUUUUGACAAUCUCCUUCCUUUGUUUCCAAAUCCUAAGCAAAUUGCUCGGUUGACAAUCAAAGCCUACUAACAUCAAACAGCUGCUAUAGACAGGUGUGUUCUACAGUUACCUGCUGUUUGCUUUCCUCAGCAGGGACUGAUAUGACAAACAAAACCAAGAGCUGGGUGCCGACGUUCAGAGUCACUCCUGCAAGCUCAACCUAGUGUCUGUUUCUUUGGCUUCCCUGGUAUUUUUCAGACUUGGAAAUUCACCCUACCUGUGGCCUCCCUCAGUCCUACAGUGUGUGGCUGGCUAGGGUGUUGUAAAACCCUGCUGAUUCUUGCAGUUCUUUGCAAAAAGCUAGGAAUCACAGUGGCUGCAUUGAAACAAAGAGGUUGCCCAGUUCUGGAAUCUUUGGUUUAUAAAUGGCACCCAGUCUCCUUCAAAUAUUUUCCACUUUUCUUUCUUGUUAGUGCACUUAUAUGAGUGCUGUCUCCUGAUUUCUGCUUUUAGCAGAAAAUAUCUCAGGUUCUCACCUUUGAAAGUUGCUCUAAACACCCUGGAGCAUGUCUGGUCACUUAAUCCCCCACCACUGGUGGGUAAGAGGGUGUGGUAGGUUGGAGGUGAAAUGGAUUUCCAACUUUCCAAUGUUCCUUCCUAUACUUUGGAGUCUGGAAAACUAGCAACCAUUGUUUUCCACGUUCUUUUCUAUUUUUCAGAUGCGUUUGUCCCUGGGUCUCUGGAUGUGAUUUAAGUUCUGCCAGUCAGACGUGCCCAGAUGAAAUGUGGAAGGGGAAGUGAGUCAGAGCUCAUGUUUUCUGGGGCUGCUGUUUCUCCGGCAGCACCAUCAUGGUUGUGUCAGGGUUUUCUGUGGCAAGUACGGAUGGUGGCCACUUUCUAAUUAUAUCACUUCCUGAUCUUGGUGGCUUCCUGAUCACCAACGAGGCAGCAGUUUCCUUGGUGCCCUGGUGUUCAAGCCACUCCUGAAAGCUCAAUCUAGUGUCUGUUUCUUCAGCUCUCCUGGUAAUUUUGUAAGUCAUUUAAUACCCUUCUUUCACUUGCUAGAGUGAAUUCCCUAUGACUUCCUUACGACUGACCCUUAAUCAAAACAGAGGGCAAUUGGGCUAGGACAUUAAUCCCCCACUGCUGAGCAGGGUGCACUGAGGUAAUCAGUCAGUCAGCAGGGGUCCUACCUCAGCCUCAGGCUGGAUGUUCCCAGGGAGGAGAGCCACCAUUCUGCCAGGGAGGACCCUGUCUGCCUCUGUGCCACGCUCAUGUCCUUCCCGCUGCUUGGGAUAGUUUUUCUUCCACGUCUACGUUUCUCCUUUGAAAGCUACUCCUUUUCCCAAGCUGGAAGCAGAUUUUUCUUGUCUGAACUCUGUGAGCACUCAGCAUACUUCUCUUAUGGUGAAAUGAUCACUUUCUUCUUGUGUUAUUGUUACUCAUGCGCAUUUUUUUUUUUUUUUGAGACAGGGUCUUGCUCUGUUGCCCAGGCUGGAGUGCAGUGGCAGGAUCUUGGCUCACUGCGGCCUCAACAUCGUGGGCUCAAGUGAUUCCUCUGCCUCAGCCUUUUGAGCUGCUGGGAAUACUUUUACUUUAUUUUUAGAGAUGGGGCGUGCACCACCGCACGUUGCUAGUUUUUUGUGGAGAUAGGGUUUUACUAUGUUGCCCAGACUGGUCUCAAAACUCCUGGGCUCGAGCAAUCUGCCUGCGUUGGCCUCCCAAAGUGCUGGGAUUACAGGCGUGAGCCACCACACCUGGCCAUUGUGCACAUUUAUCCCCUGAACCAAAUGGGCAGUCCUUUAAGAGCAGGAGCACAGUCUGGAUCAUUUUGGCAGGUCCUGAGUAUGUCAACCCUGGUGUGCCUUGUGUAUUCAGGUACACGAUGACAUUCCUGAACGAAUGAAUGAGCAGAGGGAAGGAUGUACAGGUAGCUGUGCUCCCUGGCUAGUACUUGAUAUACCAUUUUUUAUUUUCCUCCACGUGGAUUUUGGGGGCCCUUCAAAGAACUCAUGCCAGUUUAAAUGAUGGCACUGGAGUACCAGCACCACCCAACAAAACUUUCUGUGAUGAUGAAGAUGUUCUAUCUGUCCAGUGAGGUAGCCCUAGCCACGGGUGACUAUUGAGCAUUUGAAAUGUGGCUAGUGUGACUGAGGAAUGGAAUUUUAAAUUUUAUUUAAUUUGAAUUAAUUUAAAUCCAAGCAGCCACUGUGGUUACUGGCUGCCAUAUUGGAGAGUGCGCCAUCAAAUCACAUCCUAGCCUGGUGGGCACACAGGCCCUAUGUACUAACUACUCAUUCUGCCAUGGACAGGAUGACAGGCCAGGACACUCUGGAUGCCAUCCUCAGUGUGUCUAGGCUGUGACUCUGACUUUCUGGGCCAGGACCAGGGCCUUACAGUGCAGGAGAAAGACAGAGAUGUGGAAGCUUCAUGGGGAGGCUUUAAAAACAGGUGAGUAGCUCUCAAAUACUCUUUUCCCUAAUUUCUAAAAGCGAUCUGCCUGCUUCUUGCACUCCAAAGCGCUGAAGCGUUGGUGUGGUGCUGUGGCAGCAAGAGGCAGCACGUCGCUAGAAGGGCGGUUGGCCUUGUGUUGAGCAGCCUCCUGCUACCGAUUUUCCCUGAAUGGACAGCUCCUUUUGGAGAGCAUAAUAAGUUUCUCAUGAGGACAUUUGUCCCGCUCUGUGGCAUCUCCUACAGUAACCACGUGUGUGUCCAAUUGCAGCUGGACAGCAAGAAUGCAAACAACCCCUGUGAGCAUCCUGGAUUGCUGUGGGUAGGGUGACCCCAACACAGCCCAGGCCUGGCCACUUUGCUAGCUCUCCAUACACAUACAAAAGGGUAUGAUGCCAGGACAGAACUAGGAUAAUGAUGCAAAGACAGAGCAUGGCACACACACUUAGUGCACAUACAUGGUCACCUGGCUGCAGAGUGGCCUCCUUUCAUGAGGUUCCUAGAGCACACAUGCAGGGCCCUUUUGUUUAUAGUCGUCUCUUCCAUAGAGUUCUUGGAGAUCAUCAACCACACUUUGGUCCACUCUGCUGCACACUCAUAUUUUUAUCCACAGAAUUCAGCCCUGCCCAUCACCCUUGAUGCCCUUGGCAUAACCUAAGCAGGUACGUUCUAGAAGCAUCUAGAUGGAGGCUCUGAGGGCCUCCAUCUCUUCCUGUUCUACUGCUCUAGGGUCACCGUCUAUGAAAGUGGAAGCUCCAAAGACAACAAACACACACACACAGAGCCAGAAAGAAACCUCACUGCUUUGUUUUGCUCCACUUAGGGCCCACUGAGAAUGAAUGAAUGUCCUGACUAGAUAAUAGCUUGCUAUUGGGAAAUGGGCCAGGGGUCUGGGGAAGUGAGUGAGAGUGACUUGGGAAGGUCUGGCAGAGACAGGACAGAAGCAGAGGCAUGAGUUAAAAUGUACAGGUAGAUCUGGGCUCACAUUCUAGCUGUGAGCCUUGGGCAAAUUUCUUGGUCUCUUUGAGCCUCUGUUUCAUUUUAUGGGUUGGUGAGAAGUUGAAAUGAGAUCAUGCCUGUGACAGUCCUCAUAGAAUGUCUGACAAUAGAAUGAAAGGCACCUUCUGGUCAGGAGCCUCUGUGACCUGCACCUCUUUACAACUUUUGUAGGUGAGCCAAGAUUUGGAGGAACCACUGGGAUGCUCACUCGUGGCCAUGACAUCAGCAUUCCAGGAGGGCAGCUCCACAGAUAAGUCACUCCUGAUACUGCUGGCAGCUCACCAUCAGGAACAAUGCACUGAAAUGCAUACGGCCUUUGUAAUGCGCAUUUACAUUGAUCUAACCACUUUCUGGGAAACUCACAACAGUCCAUGGGUGUGAUUAUUGUUAUUUCCAU